GGGAGGUGGCCCCUCGCUGUAUACUCGAUUGGUCACCUGACCCGCGAGAACUAAAAGCGCCAUUUUUUUCAAAGGUAACGUUACUCAACCGCAAAGAUAUUUGAAGGCAAUGGUAGACGGCACUACUUUCAGUGAAUAACGACUUAACUUUUAGGCUGUUCCUCUCUCAAAGUUAUCAUGUGGCUUCAGAAGACUUCGAAUACUGCCCAGAAGUUUGUAUUGGCAGCUUGGCGUUUCAAAUUGGGAUCCAUUUGUAUUGUCUGAAAAAGCUCCAUUUGUGUUUCACUGAAGAAAGAAAGAAAAAAGGAUUAAUGAAAGAAAGCGAUACAGAAAAGUCAGUGCAAAAAGAGAGUGAAGUCAAGGCAGAGCACAUUGAAGAAAGCACAGUAGAGAAAAGGCAAGAUCAUGAUCCAGGUAAGAAAGUGAACAGAGUUGGUUUGGAUAAAGUGUCUUGUAAGUUAAAAAAUCCAAAUGAUGUUAAUAUUUCUAAGUUACCUUUUACAUGAUUGUCACAGUACAGGGACAGAGAAAGCAUGAAGCAGAAGAAGACACGAGUCAGGAGAGAGAUGGAUACAUAUGCAGAGAAGCAAGUUUAAAGUUAUGUUCUUUCUUGUUUAAAUUGUUCUGUUUGUACUUGAGCAUAGAGGUUUGUGCUAAAUGCAAACAGUAAAAUGUUGUAUGUACAGUGAACAGGUGUGUGUGACUGAGUGUGUGCGAGUGAGAGAGAUCAGGAAGACUUGUAUUUGGCUUAUUCAGAACUCAAAAUGUUAUACCCAUUUAUGUAAUACAAUGGAAAACUGGAAUAAGUUUUAAUAUACCACCAUAUGUAAAUCAAGCUUUUUUAAAUUAUUAUUAUUAUUAUACCCUUAAUGGGGGCUGAGCACCCCUAAAAUGAAAAUCCUACAAUCACCCCUGGUUUGGUUAAUAUCAUUGCUGUUAAAAUAAGUUACAGACGCUUCGAGUCCACAUGAAGUUUGGUCAAAAUUAUAUGCAACGUGAAGCCAUUCUGUAGUAGAGUUUGUUCUACAUGCCACUAUUUCUCAUACUGUACUAGAGUCAGAGUUUAUUUAAAUAAUUCUUCAGUAGAGGGCACCAUGAUAUCAGCUUGUCAAACAGGCUUACUUAAGCACACUGAGCUUAGAAUAUCCAUUUAUCUCAAUUGUGUUUGCUUGGUUAGCACAGAUAAACAACAGUUUUUGAUACUAUCACUUGGGCUGUAUUAUCUGAUCAAUCACGUGAUGACGAUGCUAAUAGGCUGAUGGAGCCAAAAAAUGGGCACUGUAUCUUAUCUAGCAAAGAGCCUUGGCAUGAAAGGCACCAGACUGGUUCAUUUCAUACUUUUAAGAUCUAUCAAAACAAAAUUGGGCA
rnacentral:lncRNA from 1 species